rnacentral:misc_RNA from 1 species
CGACGACAGGUCAAAAUGUCGGGGCUUUCGGAAGACAAGCGGCAGUCCGCGGAGAUGAUGUUCGGCGCCGAGGAAGUGCCAGCCUGCUACGACUCUGUCAUGCACCACAACCGCGAGGCCAUGAAGGUGUUUCUGGAGCGAUACAAGGAUUCUUUCUUUGCGGUCGAGAACGGUGCCCAGUGUGCGGAUUGCCAGUGGUUGGACGUCGGCUGUGGUCCAGGAAAGUUCACUAAGAACUAUUUGCUCCCGCACGCACCUUCGUCCUUGCGAAGACUGGUGGCGGCCGAUUUCUCACAGGCCAUGCUGGAUCAUGCCGCAAGAAACCAUGCACAUCCGAAGAUUGCGUAUCGCCUUCUCGACAUCGCAAACGACAAAGCCGUGUCGGCGUUUGCCGCGCGCGAAGGUCUCUUCGAGCGCGUAUGCUGCUUCCUAACGCUGCAUUGGAUCAGCGACAAAGCGGCCGCUCUCAGGAACCUGGAGUAUCUCACAGCCCCCGGGGGAGAGUGCUUGGUGGUGUUCAACCCGCGUGUUGCACCACAACAGGUGUUACGUGCCAUGAUUGCGUCCGGCAAGUGGAAAAGGCACGAACACGUUCUCAAAUCUGCUCUCCCGGAGUCCUGGGAGUUUUACGACGUUGACACCAUGGUGUCAAAGCUCGAAGGACUAGUCGCAUCAACAAGCCUGGUGGCCCUGUCGUGUGAAGUUGUGCCUCUGCAGGUCGGGAGCCCCGAAAUCGACCUAGAAGCGCUCUGUGUGCCGCUAUACCGAUUUAUCCGCACAUGAAAAAGGAAGGCCAGGUUGAAGUGGAAGAGUUUGUCAGAAACUUGGCUCUCCAAGACGGCUGCGUGAACUUCUCGGUUACGGGCAUAACGCAUCAACUUAGGUGCGUCAUUCACGCCCGCAAACCAGUAUUGUCGAGUUAAGAAGAGCCAAUUAGACCUGGCACAAGACUUCUGUGCGGCGUCUGCAACAUCCACGGUUGU